AUGGCUGAGCCAACAGGCCUUGCUGAGGCUUUCGAGAAGCUUGCUAAGAUCUUCGAGGAGUCGAAAUCUGGGGCCAUCGUUCCUCGACAGGAAGUGGCUCAGAAGAUCGAACUGUCGCCCAUGGACAUGAAGUUAGAGGGGGCUACCAAUUAUCUGAGCUGGUCCCGGAGGGCGUUGCUGGCUGUGGAACAGAAGGAGCUUGAUGGGCACUUGUUGGGUGUUGUUGCUGAACCAGGAGACAAGACUACUGUGGAGGGAAAAAGAUGGAAGGUCAUAAACUCUGUGCUCAUUGGCUGGUUGUUGAACUCGGUGGUGCCCCCCAUUGGACGCUCUGUGGAGGGGCUCGAUAUGGACGACUCUGUCCACCUUGUACUCAGGUAA
rnacentral:rRNA from 1 species